UGACGACACCUCAGGGUUUGGGAGAGAGAGGAAGUCAGUUAGGGUUUUGGGUUUUGGAGGGAGAGAGAGGGAGAGAUGAAGCCGUUGGUGGGGAUGGUGGUGUCGAACAAGAUGCAGAAGUCGGUGGUGGUGGCGGUGGACAGGCUGUUCCACAACAAGCUCUACAAUCGCUACGUGAAGCGCACCUCCAAGUUCAUGGCCCAUGACGAGACCAACCAAUGCAACAUCGGCGACCGCGUCCGAUUGGAUCCAUCAAGGCCGCUGAGCAGGCAUAAGCGUUGGGUGGUUGCUGAAAUCCUCAAGAGAGCCCGAAUUUAUGAACCGCCCUCCGCUGAGUCUCGACCGCCACCUCCUUCUACUACAACCUCCUCAUCCUCCUAAGUAUUUUGACCCCAAGGGGAGGGAGAAGGGGAGAUAGAUGUGGCUUGAAGUUGGAACUACAAUGAAUUGAACUUGAACUAGUUGAAGAUGAUCAGUUUCGGGGAAAAGUCUAGGGGAUAUUUCACUCGGGACACCUGAAAAGCUGAGAAGACUGACUUCUACACAACAGCAGGUUCCAAGAACUGGUUAGCAGCAUCUGCACAAAGCUUGAUGGAAAAUGAAGAUUUCUUUUUUUUUUUUUUUUCCUUUUCUUUUGUGAAUUUUGUUCGUAUCCAGGUGUUUGAGCCGUCUUAGGCUGGGGCACUUAUUGCCCUGUGUACCGAGUUCUCUUCGAUAAUUUCUUUAAAUGCAUUGCUGUUCGUUUA